GGCAACGGUUGCAGGCGGCCAGGGGUUAGCGCCCGUUGGUCACGUGUCGGCGGCCGUAAGCGUUUGAGACGUCCGCGCGCCGGUCGCUGCUGGUGGUGGGCGCGGCUGCGAGUCGCGAGGCGCCAGGGAGAGCUGGUUCUUCAUGAGUUUGGUGUUGAAUACUGAUGAAACGACCUCCACAGUCAAGAGAAGGAAUGGACUGCCGUGGGGCUCGGUGAGAGAUGGCCCUGCCCGUCUCCUUUGUUGCUGGUGUGGCCUUGUGCCCAAAUGCAGGGAUGCACGCGGAGACGAUGGUGCAACUUCUAGGUCAUCUCCCACAUAGACAACGAGCCCCAGCCCGGAAUGGAGCUCUUUUCCCUCCUUGCAAGCUGGAACGUGAAUGUGCUCACCACCCAGCUUUGACCUCGGGAGGAAGACGGUGCCCGCGGCCAGCACAGCAACAAGCUGGAAAGGGCCUGGCUCACCAUCUGGACCUUGGGACUGUUAUGUGGUAAGGCAAUCAGCUUUUCUUUAAGACACUGUCCUUUAUGUUAGAGUCUCUCUGUUUCUGCAGCCUGGACUCUGUCCUGUUAUUAUGAGUAUGUGUCAGCAUGAGUCUCAUAUAAUGAAGUCCUCUUCCUUUGACACUAAACUCAUGUUGGGCCAGAAUCAUUUGGCCUUAAUUUUCUCUCAGUGAGGAUGUUACGUUGGAGGGGGCAGGAGACACUGAGGACCAUUCUAUACCAGAUACGUGAAGGAUGGACAGCCCUUACCUUUCCUGCAUUCCUGUAGAAUAACUCUCGACGAAAGCGUUAAGCUCAUAUUAAACCAUCUUCUUUGUGAAGCCUGGGGCAGAGAAGGUGGAGCUGAUAUAACGACACCCCUGCUUUUCUCUUCGUGGUCUUGGCCAGGACUUUCUGUGACACACAUUUAUUAACCAGAGUCUGCCUGGAAAUUGGGGCUGAGGAAAUUUUCCUAGAGUGGGAAAAGCCCAAUGUACUUGAAAACAUCAGGCAGAGCUAAGCCCAAAUUCCAACUUUAUCACUUGACAGUGAAGUCACUUAAUCUCCCCAAGUCCCUUUUUAUUAUUUUAUCCAGCUCUUAAAUGGGGCACCACUGUCCGCUUCCAAGAGUUGCUGGGGAGAUCACAUAUCAUCGAGACAAAGGGCUCCAGCAUAUUUCUGGGCAUUUUGUACACUGUUCACAAAUACUCAUUUCUUUCCUCAGAAAAAUUUGGGAGAAUCCGUUAUUAAAAAGUUUUGCUUGAGUUACUUUAUAUCCCACUCUCUCAGGAGGUAUCUGAGGCUCCCUCUAAAAGGAAUGUGAUUUAUAAAGAAAGUUUAAAAAGUGCUUUCACACUCCUUUUAGGAGUGAUUAUUUAGGAUUAUUUUCUUCUUCCGAUUCUGAGAGAUGUGUGUGUGUGAUGGGGUAGAUUUAGUUCACUACGAAAGAGAAGGUGCAAAAAGACAGCAGUCCUUGGUUUAUGACAGCAUUGCUGACCUUGAUGGGAGGGAGGAGAAGAUGGGAGGUGCUGGGCGAUUCUGACCCUCAAGGUUGAGGAAAUGUGGUCAUUUUUGAGUGAGACCCCUGCAGCUCCUAAGGCCAGGGAGGCCUGCCAUGAUGAGGGUGUUAUGAUCACAGUUUAAAGUCUUGGUGUCUAAAGCCAUAAGGCAGGUGAUUUCUAAGGCCCUGCAGGUUCCUGGGGAUCCCAGGUGUGGGGUAAAUACUUAGUGUUCCCUCUCUUCUCCUUCCCCUCCUUCCUGCCUCCCUUUUCUCCUCUGCCCGCUUCCCUGCAAUCUCAUGCACGCACGGACACUCAUUUGUAUUCAAAGCAAGGCUUAUCCAUUCAUUAAAUAUAUACUGAGUAAUAAAUGUGUCAGAUUCUAACCAACUAAGAAACAGAUUCACAAGGAGCCACUGAAAACCAAGGUAUGUAUCAGCUUUAUUAAUGGGCCACACAAGUGCCCAAUAGCCUGGGAAGAGCAGAGUUCCAGGUGCCGCUGGACUGGAGCUGAUGGACCCACCUCCCACCCUAACCCUAACACCCCCAUCACAGGCAGAGGGGCAGCACCCAGAACAGCGUGGUCUGAGUUGUUCGGCGCAGGGAGAGCGGCAGUCUGAGGGAGAAGGAAUUAACGUCAUCGGGUAAAUGAGGCCCAGUGUCCUCUGUCCUCUCGUUGCUGGUCCUGCCAAUGAGAGAAGGGAGCGGUGAGUGAUAGGCAGCUUUCAGGACCCCCUCCUGGGGGAAGAGCAGAAGUCUACCCCUCUGGACCAGUGAGGGGAGGUCUGAUUGGCCGGUUGGGGGACAUAAAAACUCCUAACAGGGAGCUUUGAAUCAUGUCUCCUGAAAGUUCAUGUUGAAGUCCUAACCCCCAGAAACUCCAAAUGUGACCUUAUUUGGGAAUAGGGUCACCGCAGAUGUAAUUAGUUACGAUGCAGUCACACUGGAGUAGGGUGAGCCCCUAAUCC